GACGAACGCUGGCGGCGUGCCUAACACAUGCAAGUCGAGCGGAGUUUAUUAAGGAAGUCUUAGGACGGAAAGAAUAAACUUAGCGGCGGACGGGUGAGUAACACGUGGGUAACCUGCCCAUAAGAGGGGGAUAACAUCCGGAAACGGGUGCUAAUACCGCAUAGUUUUCUUGAUCGCAUGAUCGAGAAGGAAAGACGGCCUUUGUGCUGUCGCUUAUGGAUGGACCCGNGGCGUAUUAGUUAGUUGGUGAGGUAACGGCUCACCAAGACGAUGAUACGUAGCCGACCUG
rnacentral:rRNA from 1 species